GGGUUUUGGGUGGUUUUUGGGGGUUUUUGGGAUAUUUUUAGGGUUUUUUGGGGUACAUCAAUGAGGUUUUGGGGGCUUUUUGGGGUUUUUGGGGUACAUCAAUGAGGUUUUGGGGGUUUUUGGGGUAUUUUUGGGUUUUUUGGGGUACAUCAAUGAGGUUUUGGGGGUAUUUUUGGGGUUUUUUGGGUACAUCAAUGAGGUUUUGGGGGGUUUUUGGGGUUUUUGGGGUACAUCAAUGAGGUUUUUGAGUUUUUUGGGGUACAUCAAUGAGGUUUUGGGGUUUUUUGGGUAUUUUUAUCUGUUUUUGGGGUUUUUGGGGUACAUCAAUGAGGUUUUGGGGGGUUUUGGGGGUUUUUUGGGGUACAUCAAUGAGGUUUUGGGGGUUUUUGGGGUUUUUGGGGUACAUCAAUGAGGUUUUGGGGGCUUUUUGGGUUUUUUGGGGUACAUCAAUGAGGUUUUGGGGGUAUUUUGGGGUUUUUGGGGUACAUCAAUGAGGUUUGGGGGUAUUUUGGGGGUUUUUGGGGUACAUCAAUGAGGUUUUGGGGGGUUUUGGGGUUUUUGGGGUACAUCAAUGAGGUUUUGGGGGUAUUUUUGGGGUUUUUGGGGUACAUCAAUGAGGUUUUGGCACGUGCCCAUCCACGUAGAAAUUCCGUGUGAGCCGGGGCAGCUCGAUGCGCGCUCCCUCCAUGGCGGGGCUGAGGCUGAGCUGACAGCCCAGGCGAGAAUUCUCCCGCA